AUGGGAUGGGCAUGGGCAGCCCUCCGGUCCGGAGUUCCAAGGUGGCGCACCCCAAAUUCAUCGUCCCCGUCCGGCUGGGUCGGCUCGAUCAGCCUCAUCAUUCGAUCGCAGCCUUAUUCAACCGCUCCCAGCCCCAGCCACGGCGGGGAGGAGGAUGCGGAUGAGGCCAGGCAAGAGAUGCUGAACAGAUGGGUACACCGCGCCGCACAGACAACUUUCAGGGACUACCUCCAUGUCAAGCGCGGCCUGUGCCUCACUGACGCCAAGCAUAUCAGCGAGCGAUCGCCCGUCUUCCUCAGCGAGCUGCUGGAGAAGGUGAACAAUGCGGUGCCGAAGCCUGCUGAUCAGGUUGCAGAGGGGGCGAGAUUCAGGUCCAAAGUGAAGAAGAGGGUCAGCAAGGCGCUGGUGCGAUUGCUCCAUCGCCGCCCUGUCAACGAGUUCAGGCCCUUCUUUGAGAGCAUCGGCCUGAGGCCGGACGAGUGGGAUUCCCUCUUGCCGCGGGAUCUCACAUUCCUCGCCGAUGCCGACAUGCUGCUCGAGAGCUACCGUGCACUAUACAGUUACGGCAUUGCGCAUGACAAGAUUGGAGAGAUAUACCGGAAUGCUACCGAGGUGUUUAGUCUUGGCCAGGGCGUUCUUGCAUCUAAGCUCGAGGUCCUUGAGGGUCUAGGCUUCAGUAAGGCCAGUGUGAUCAAACUAGUGAUCUCUACUCCUACCGUAUUGGUUCAUGAUCCGGCUGUGGAACUGAAGACGAUCUUGCAGUGGCUAGACGACAUUGGGAUUCAGCCAGACUGGAUCGGCCAGUUCUUCACUGAAUAUCAGUCCUAUAAUUGGCAAAAGAUUGUCGAAGCUCUGCACUUCUUGAGUGAUUUGGGGUUUACUAAGGAUGAUAUUGGUAAAGCGGUGAGGAAACAUCCAGAUUUGUUGUUGGAAUGGUCUGGUGAGAUGCUACGACAAGUGGUUGCCGACAUGCAAAGGUUGGGAUCUGGGAAAAGGGAGUUACUUGAUCUUUUUCUGAACUACCGCAAUCUUAAAAGCGGGGAUGUUGGUAAGAACAUAUGGACGGGAACACGUUUCUUACGUGGCAUUGGCAUGAGCCAUGAGGAUGUGAAGAAGUUUCUGGAUUCUCAUGGAUGGAUAUUCGGUGCUGCCACCAUGAAGGCCGCGAGCACCAUUCUUGGGCAACUCAAUGUGGGGAAGGCACGGCUGGGAAGGAUCGUAAUGGAGGAACCACGUCAGUUGAUGAAUUAUAAGAUUGGCUCAAAGGUCAGCAGAUUACCAAGAUGUAAACCUGAACCCUGUGUCAAGGAGAAGAGGGAAUUCUUAAGACGCAUAGGGUUUGUUGAAGGCUCGGAAUAUAUGGAGAAGGCACUCAAAGCUAUCCGUGGAAAAGGCGCCAACCUGCAAGAUAAAUACAGCAAUUUAGUGGAGGAAGGGUUGGACCCAAAAGAUGUAACUCACAUGGUGAAGAUGGCUCCUCGGAUUCUGAAUCAGAAGACGGACGCCAUUGCUUAUAAGAUAUCGUUCCUUGUGCAUGUGGCAGGUUAUCCCCCGAGUGCUGUGGCUGCUUUCCCACGGUACCUAGAGUUCACUGUGCACAUAAGCAAACUUAAGAUGUUGAUGUACAGUUGGAUGCUACAAAGGGGGCUGGCUGCACCCCAACUUACUCUAAGCACAGUCCUAUCUUCCUCAGAAACAGAAUUCACCAAGGCUCAUGUAUAUAAGGUUCCCAUGGGUCGUGAAGUUUGGUGGAAGUUCAAGCAGCAGGGAGGUAGCUUCGGCCAAGAGGAGAUCAGAUGGCUGCGACGCAGGGUGCACCUUGGAUGA
rnacentral:rRNA from 1 species